AGAGUUUGAUCCUGGCUCAGGAUGAACGCUAGCGGCAGGCCUAACACAUGCAAGUCGAGGGGUAAUUCCGCUUUCGGGCGGGAACGACCGGCGCACGGGUGAGUAACGCGUAUGCAACCUACCUUUAACAGGGGCAUAGCCCGAAGAAAUUCGGAUUAAUACCCCAUAUUAUUAUAGAUAAGCAUUUAUUUAUAAUAAAAACUCCGGUGGUUAAAGAUGGGCAUGCGUAACAUUAGUUAGUUGGUGAGGUAACGGCUCACCAAGGCAACGAUGUUUAGGGGGCCUGAGAGGGUGGUCCCCCACACUGGUACUGAGACACGGACCAGACUCCUACGGGAGGCAGCAGUGAGGAAUAUUGCGCAAUGGAGGCAACUCUGACGCAGCCAUGCCGCGUGCAGGAUGACGGCCCUACGGGUUGUAAACUGCUUUUAUACAGGAAGAACUUUCCGCACGAGUGCGGGAUUGACGGUACUGUACGAAUAAGCAUCGGCUAACUCCGUGCCAGCAGCCACGGUAAUACGGAGGAUGCAAGCGUUAUCCGGAUUUAUUGGGUUUAAAGGGUGCGUAGGCGGGAUAAUAAGUCAGUGGUGAAAUACUGCAGCUCAACUGUAGAACUGCCAUUGAUACUGUUUUUCUUGAGUUCGAUUGAGGUAGGCGGAAUGUGUAAUGUAGCGGUGAAAUGCUUAGAUAUUACACAGAACACCGAUUCGUAGGCAGCUUACUAAGUCGACACUGACGCUGAGGCACGAAAGCGUGGGGAGCGAACAGGAUUAGAUACCCUGGUAGUCCACGCUGUAAACUAUGAUCACUAGCUGUUGGCGAUACAUUGUUCAGCGGCAAAGCGAAAGCAUUAAGUGAUCCACCUGGGGAGUACGGUCGCAAGAUUGAAACUCAAAGGAAUUGACGGGGGCCCGCACAAGCGGUGGAACAUGUGGUUUAAUUCGAUGAUACGCGAGGAACCUUACCUGGGCUUAAAUGCAGAUUGACGUUUCGGGAAACCGGAAUUCCCUUCGGGGCGAUUUGCAAGGUGCUGCAUGGUUGUCGUCAGCUCGUGCCGUGAGGUGUCGGGUUAAGUCCCAUAACGAGCGCAACCCCUAUCGUUAGUUGCCAGCGGGUAAUGUCGGGGACUCUAGCGAAACUGCCGGUGUAAACCGAGAGGAAGGUGGGGAUGACGUCAAAUAAGCACGGCCCUUAUGUCCAGGGCUACACACGUGUUACAAUGGUCGGUACAGAGGGCAGCUACCUGGUGACAGGAUGCUAAUCUCGAAAGCCGGUCUUAGUUCGGAUCGAAGUCUGCAACUCGACUUCGUGAAGCUGGAAUCGCUAGUAAUCGCGCAUCAGCAACGGCGCGGUGAAUACGUUCCCGGGCCUUGUACAC
rnacentral:rRNA from 1 species